rnacentral:rRNA from 1 species
UACGAAGGGGGCUAGCGUUGCUCGGAUUGACUGGGCGUAAAGGGCGCGUAGGCGGUUCGUACAGUCAGACGUGAAAUUCCUGGGCUCAACCUGGGGGCUGCGUUUGAUACGUGCGGACUUGAGUGCGGAAGAGGGUCGUGGAAUUCCCAGUGUAGAGGUGAAAUUCGUAGAUAUUGGGAAGAACACCGGUGGCGAAGGCGACUGACUGGACAUGUAUUGACGCUGAGGUGCGAAAGCGUGGGGAGCAAACAGG